UACGGAGGGAGCUAGCGUUGUUCGGAAUUACUGGGCGUAAAGCGCGCGUAGGCGGCUUUGUAAGUUAGAGGUGAAAGCCCGGGGCUCAACCCCGGAACAGCCUUUAAGACUGCAUCGCUAGAAUCCGGGAGAGGUGAGUGGAAUUCCUGGUGUAGCGGUGAAAUGCGCAGAUAUCAGGAAGAACACCCGUGGCUAAGGCGGUUCUCUAGUACGGUACUGACGCUGAGACGCGAAAGCGUGGGGAGCGAACAGG
rnacentral:rRNA from 1 species